rnacentral:rRNA from 1 species
UGGGGAAUAUUGCACAAUGGGCGAAAGCCUGAUGCAGCAACGCCGCGUGCGGGAAGACAGCCCUAGGGUUGUAAACCGCUUUCAGCAGGGAAGAAACUGACGGUACCUGCAGAAGAAGAUGCGGCCAACUACGUGCCAGCAGCCGCGGUGACACGUAGGCAUCAAGCGUUAUCCGGAUUUAUUGGGCGUAAAGAGCUCGUAGGCGGUUCGGUAAGUCGGGUGUGAAACUCUGGGCUCAACCCAGAGAGGCCACUCGAUACUGCUGUGACUAGAGUGCGGUAGGGGAGCGGGGGAAUUCCUGGUGUAGCGGUGAAAUGCGCAGAUAUCAGGAGGAACACCAGUGGCGAAAGGCGGCUCACUGGGCUCGAUACUGACGCUGAGGUGCGAAAAGUGUGGGGGAGCAAAACAGGGAUUUAGAUACCCUGGUAGUCCACACCGUAAACGAUGAAUGCCAGUCGUCGGGUAGCAUGCUA